UCCUACGGGGGGCAGCAGUGAGGAAUAUUGGUCAAUGGUCGGGAGACUGAACCAGCCAAGCCGCGUGAGGGAUGAAGGUACAGAGUAUCGUAAACCUCUUUUGUCAGGGAACAAAGGCGGGGACGUGUCCCCGGAUGAGUGUACCUGAAGAAAAAGCAUCGGCUAACUCCGUGCCAGCAGCCGCGGUAAUACGUAGGGGGCAAGCGUUAUCCGGAAUUACUGGGUGUAAAGGGAGCGUAGACGGUUAAGUAAGUCUGGAGUGAAAGGCCGGGGCCCAACCCCGGGACUGGUCUGGA
rnacentral:rRNA from 1 species